CUUUGUUUACCAGUUUGUU
rnacentral:snRNA from 1 species